rnacentral:rRNA from 1 species
UACGUAGGGUGCGAGCGUUGUCCGGAAUUACUGGGCGUAAAGAGCUCGUAGGCGGUUUGUUGCGUUGUCCGUGAAAUUCUCUGGCUUAACUGGGGGCGUGCGGGCGAUACGGGCAGACUGGAGUACUGCAGGGGAGACUGGAAUUCCUGGUGUAGCGGUGGAAUGCGCAGAUAUCAGGAGGAACACCGGUGGCGAAGGCGGGUCUCUGGGCAGUAACUGACGCUGAGGAGCGAAAGCGUGGGGAGCGAACAGG